CAUACAGUGUGUGUGUGUACGAGGGAAGUGAGUGGUGAAGCAAGAGAGAGAGCGCGGCGGUGACGGGAGCGAGUAGCGUUAACGACUCCGGCCCAAGCAG